AUCAUUAGCGAGUUAAUAACAAACUCCAAACCCAUGUGAACUUACCUCUUGUUGCCUCGGCAGGUCGUGCUGCACGGUAUUUUCGCCAACCUACCCUGGAGCUACCCUGGAGUACCUACCCUGUAGUUACCCUGGAAAAGCUCCUCUGGAAUUCUCUAAGAGCUACCCUGGAGCUACCCUGUAGUUACCCUGGAGGUACCCUGGAGUUGGGAGGCGACCUACCCUGUAGUACACAACCAGGCCUGCCGGCGGACCACUAAACUCUGUUUUAUAAUUGUAUCUCUGAGGGCUAUUAUGCAAAUUAGUUAAAACUUUCAACAACGGAUCUCUUGGCUCUAGCAUCGAUGAAGAACGCAGCGAAAUGCGAUAAGUAAUGUGAAUUGCAGAAUUCAGUGAAUCAUCGAAUCUUUGAACGCACAUUGCGCCUAAUAGUAUUCUGUUAGGCAUGCCUGUUCGAGCGUCAUUUCAACCCCCAAGCCCUAUUUGCUUGACGUUGGGAGAUUACAGCCCUGCUGUAACUCCUCAAAUCUAGCGGCGGAGCUAAGUGUUGCUUCUAAGCGUAGUAAAUCUCAUUCUCGCUUCUGGAGCUACCCUGUAUCUUGCCGUAAAACCCCCAAUUUUCUAGUGGUUGACCUCGGAUCAGGUAGGAAUACCCGCUGAACUUAAGCAUAUC
rnacentral:misc_RNA from 1 species